rfam:Triticum aestivum genome assembly, contig: Triticum_aestivum_CS42_TGACv1_scaffold_146571_2BS
CAAAUACUCCCUCCCUCCGGAAAUACUUGUCAUCAAAAUUGAUAAAAUGAAAUGUAUCUAGACGUAUUUUAGUUUUAGAUACAUCUCUUUUUAUCCAUUUUGAUGACAAGCAUUUUCGAACAUAGGGAGUAUUUA